GAUGAAGAACGUAGCGAAAUGCGAUAAGUAAUGUGAAUUGCAGAAUUCAGUGAAUCAUCGAAUCUUUGAACGCACAUUGCGCCCCCUGGUAUUCCGGGGGGCAUGCCUGUUCGAGCGUCAUUUCACCACUCAAGCCUCGCUUGGUAUUGGGCAACGCGGUCCGCCGCGUGCCUCAAAUCGACCGGCUGGGUCUUCUGUCCCCUAAGCGUUGUGGAAACUUUCGCUAAAGGGUGUUCGGGAGGCUACGCCGUAAAACAACCCCAUUUCUAAGGUUGACCUCGGAUCAGGUAGGGAUACCCGCUGAAAUUAAGCAUAUCAAUAAGCGGAGGA
rnacentral:misc_RNA from 1 species